GGCGGCAGGCCUAACACAUGCAAGUCGAGCGCACCUUCGGGUGAGCGGCGGACGGGUUAGUAACGCGUGGGAACGUACCCUUUUCUACGGAAUAGCCUUUGGAAACGAAGAGUAAUACCGUAUAUGCCCUUUGGGGGAAAGAUUUAUCGGAGAAGGAUCGGCCCGCGUUAGAUUAGAUAGUUGGUGGGGUAACGGCCUACCAAGUCUACGAUCUAUAGCUGGUUUUAGAGGAUGAUCAGCAACACUGGGACUGAGACACGGCCCAGACUCCUACGGGAGGCAGCAGUGGGGAAUCUUAGACAAUGGGCGCAAGCCUGAUCUAGCCAUGCCGCGUGAGUGAUGAAGGCCUUAGGGUCGUAAAGCUCUUUCGCCUGUGAUGAUAAUGACAGUAGCAGGUAAAGAAACCCCGGCUAACUCCGUGCCAGCAGCCGCGGUAAUACGGAGGGGGUUAGCGUUGUUCGGAAUUACUGGGCGUAAAGCGCACGUAGGCGGAUUGGAAAGUUGGGGGUGAAAUCCCGGGGCUCAACCCCGGAACUGCCUCCAAAACUAUCAGUCUAGAGUUCGAGAGAGGUGAGUGGAAUUCCAAGUGUAGAGGUGAAAUUCGUAGAUAUUUGGAGGAACACCAGUGGCGAAGGCGGCUCACUGGCUCGAUACUGA
rnacentral:rRNA from 1 species